CCUCAACACCCACCGUGGGGGAAGGAGGUUCUCAUUUCUUUGAGGUGUUUUGAGGGCCGUGCGGAGCCAGGGUGCCUGGGUUUGGAUCCCAGCUUGACCACUCUGGGCUCUGGCAUCUUGGGGCAGCAUCUUGCUAGGAGAGCUUUUUGGAACCUUGGUUUGGUUUUGAAGAAAAGCAGAUUAGUCUACUCAAAUCUGCCACCCUGGUUCACCUUAUGAAACCACCAAGGCCACCUAGACUUGGGCUCACCUUGAACUUGCGCUGAAGUUCACAUCCUACCACCUCUGCGCUCACCAGGCCCGACUGAGAAGGAGGCUGUCAAAACCCUGGGCGGCUUCAAGUCCUACAAUCUGAGUUCCUGACAACUUAUUGCCUCCUUGGCCUGAACUUGUGCCGAGGAUGUUCACACACACCCCAAGGAAAAAAAAACUUCCUGGGCUGGAGAGAUGGCUUAGCGGUUAAGCGCUUGCCUGUGAAGCCUAAGGACCCUGGUUUGAAGCUCGAUUUCCCAGGACCCACGUUAACCAGAUGCA